UCCUCGAUAGCUCAGUUGGUAGAGCAAAUGACUGUUAAUCAUUGGGUCCCUGGUUCGAGCCCAGGUCGAGGAG
rnacentral:tRNA from 1 species